rnacentral:lncRNA from 1 species
UGUCCAGGCUGGUAAACAAACACCGCUGGGUGUUUUACCUGGGUUUUUAGGAGCGGCUUUGGGUUUCAGUGAAUGUGCUUUGUUACAGGAGCCCAGAUCCUUUGCACGGUGCUGCUGAUCAAACCCGGCGCCUGGAGUCAUAGUUUUGCGAGGAUCCUCUGGAAACUUGACCUAGAAAAAUUCCGUGUGGUUGGGAUGAAACACAUAAACCUGGAAGCAGACGUUGCCUUAGGGCUCCUUUCUUCUGAAGUGAAGCAGGAUCCUGCUGCUUUAGAAGCUCAUUGUUCCUACCUUACCUCAGGCACUGCUCUCGUGCUGUGUCUUCAAAGACCCAAUGCUGUGAAGAAGCUGAUAGAUUUACUGGGGCCAGAGGACCCUAAACUGGCCCAAGCACAAGAUCCCUUCCUCUGGAGGGCCCAAUAUGGCAUCAGCGCAGUCCAAAAUGGAUUUUACGGCUCCAAAUCCUAUCAAAUAGCUGUCCGGGAUAUGAAGCUGUUUUUCCCAGAAGGGCUGUGCUGCGCUGAGUGUCAGACAUUAGAGGAGGAAGAGAUCUAUAACUUGCAGCGUGACCCCAUCGUUGGUUUGGAAAUCAACAGGCAGCGCAGGAUCAUAAAACGUGGGACGGGAGGGCGACGCCGUUCGCUGGGCUCCGAGCAGCGGCACGGCCUGGGUAAGGAAACGCCUAACCCAACCUGUGUUAUAGUUUGCGGCUGGUAUUGAUUAAUUGGACAGUGAGACGAACCAUCUGGUGGCAGCAAGAUUUGGUAUCGAUGUCCUUUCAGAAGGGAGAGACAACUCUGAGCUGCAAAGAACAGCUCUGGUGGAGUCCAGCCGUUUAACUCUUUACCUGCCAGGCCUUUCCACCACUGGUGCUUUUGUGGGGGCUU